ensembl:lncRNA
UUACAAUCUUCCAUAACCCAACAAUUUAUUUAAACUUACAUCACAAGGAGAAUCUAUUAAUAAAAUACAUCAGUUCACACCAGUCUGCAUUGCCAUUUUUUAAGGGUAAGCAUCUUUCUUCACUUUAUAUUAAAACUUUAUAGAGGUAAAAACUACUGCAUUGUACCGGCAGUUCUGGAAAUCUAGUGUAACAUCAGGCAGGUUACAGAGGAACUUUCAGAGCUAAUUACACUUCAGUUAACCUCACAUUUUUGGCACAUCUGAAUGCUUUUUAUUUUCUUCUUAACAUAAAAUAACUCUAUAGCAAGUCAGAGAAUCAUUGACAUAAAAGCAUCACUAUCCAAUGGCAAGUGCUGCCUAAAAGCAUACAAAAAUUGCAUCAUUUGGUUACAAAAUAGAUACUCUUAGUUCUUUACCCCAAGGCUUAACAUCGAAGUGCUGCGACAGAAAAGGGCCAGGAUCAGGGCCAGCCUUGCUGAGCUGCUGCUGGUCACUUUGCUGCAAGGCUUUGCUUCCCUAAAUCCCAGAGUGAUGUGCUAACAAGGUGCCGGUGGCUUUCGCCUUGCCAGUGGAGGCUCCUACAGCACCCUCCCGCAGGAGAGAGGCCACCAGUCCAUGUCACCUCCUCCUCACACGUGCUGCUCGAGGGACACGGUGCACACACGGCGAUGGAGGUGCUCAGGAGGGGCCGUGUUCCUGCACCGGUGGCCUCGGCAGUGUGGUGGCUGCGGGUCCUGCGGUGGAGCGCACAGAGCUGCUGCUCCGGCCGGGCUGCUCCUGCCUGGCACCGCAGCAGCUGCCGCCGGGCAAGUGUUCUAAGCAGGAACAAAACACUAAUGGUAGUGGUGUGCCAGGCACGUAUUUGCACAAGUAUCUGCAGUACUUUCACCAGUUUUUAACACCUGCAUGUUGUGGGUUUGGGGGCUUUUUGUUGUACACCACAAACUCCAGCCACUGGGAGCUUCUGAUGUUCUAUCCAAAGUAAAAAGCAGCCCUUGGUACUUGCAGCCGGGGUUAGUUUCUCCCUGGCUCUUGAGCUGUACUGUUUCAGUCAGUUUGGCACAUAAACUAGUGAUUGGUUUAUGUUUUACCGGUGGCAGGCUCCACACGCUGCUAUUUAUUUAGUGAGAUGGCUAUUGUCUUGGUUCUGUCCCUUCUGCUCAUGUUGCUCUGGUAGAAACAAAGAAAUAGGAGUGAAUUGCUGCAGUUCAGGAGAGAUUGAUGUAGCAGAAGAAGCACUUCCGAGCUUUCUGGUUGCAGGAGAGCUGGAUGGUCACUUUUCUUUAAAGGGAAAUAAACGCUGAUGGUGGCAGGGCUGCAUUCUGUGCGUCUUCCCAAAGCUCUGGUCAAACAAAAUCUCUUUUUUUCUUGAUUCAACUCUCGUACUCCUCCUUUGCUGAAGCCCCUCAUCUGAAAUCCUUUUUGCUGAGGCCAGUGAGCACUCCCAAAAAGAGCUCAGGGCUGCUAGGAAUCCUCUCUGUCUACCUCUCCUAGAGAAACAGAAGAAAGGACCAGAAUACUUGCUGUGUUAGGGAAAGAAAGAAAGUACACUGAUAGUGGACCGGUUGUUGAUGGGAUGUUUGAAACUCACAGAAGAGAAACAUCAAGGUAUCCAUGGUACUCUUUGCACGUAACUUACUGACCCUGAAAGGUGGC